UCCGGUUUGUCACCGGCAGUCUCAUUAGAGUGCCCAACUAAAUGUAGCAACUAAUGACAAGGGUUGCGCUCGUUGCGGGACUUAACCCAACAUCUCACGACACGAGCUGACGACAGCCAUGCAGCACCUGUGUUCUGGCUCCCUUUCGGGCACCCUCGCAUCUCUACGAGGUUCCAGACAUGUCAAGGGUAGGUAAGGUUUUUCGCGUUGCAUCGAAUUAAACCACAUGCUCCGCUGCUUGUGCGGGCCCCCGUCAAUUCCUUUGAGUUUCAGCCUUGCGGCCGUACUCCCCAGGCGGGGCACUUAAUGCGUUAGCGCCGGCACCCAGGGGGUCGCUCCCCCAGGCACCUAGUGCCCAUCGUUUACGGCGUGGACUAC
rnacentral:misc_RNA from 1 species